CCCCCUGGUUCCUUGUAUGGGCAACCUGAAACAGGAUUAAUAGAUGUUCAGACUCAGAAUAUGUUUUCUGGACUAGUUGAUAUUCCCAGCUCCUUAGAGCCAUUAAAAGAGUGUUCACUGACUGAUGUGGUGAUGUUGGUCAAACCUGGCCCUAUAGAUGACACUUCAGCCUGAGCAGAGCUUCUGGAUUCCACUGUGGUCGACCACCUGUAAAGUAGAAACAAGAGUCU